rnacentral:rRNA from 1 species
CGCUGGCGGCAUGCCUUACACAUGCAAGUCGAACGGUAACAGGUCUUCGGAUGCUGACGAGUGGCGAACGGGUGAGUAAUACAUCGGAACGUGCCCAGUAAUGGGGGAUAGCUCGGCGAAAGCCGGAUUAAUACCGCAUACGCCCUGAGGGGGAAAGUGGGGGAUCGCAAGACCUCACGUUAUUGGAGCGGCCGAUGGCUGAUUAGCUAGUUGGUAGGGUAAAGGCCUACCAAGGCGACGAUCAGUAGCUGGUCUGAGAGGACGAUCAGCCACACUGGGACUGAGACACGGCCCAGACUCCUACGGGAGGCAGCAGUGGGGAAUUUUGGACAAUGGGGGAAACCCUGAUCCAGCAAUGCCGCGUGUGCGAAGAAGGCCUUCGGGUUGUAAAGCACUUUUGUCAGGGAAGAAAUCCUUUGGGCUAAUACCCUAGGGGGAUGACGGUACCUGAAGAAUAAGCACCGGCUAACUACGUGCCAGCAGCCGCGGUAAUACGUAGGGUGCAAGCGUUAAUCGGAAUUACUGGGCGUAAAGCGUGCGCAGGCGGUUGUGUAAGACAGGUGUGAAAUCCCCGGGCUUAACCUGGGAAUUGCAUUUGUGACUGCACGACUAGAGUGUGUCAGAGGGGGGUGGAAUUCCACGUGUAGCAGUGAAAUGCGUAGAUAUGUGGAGGAACACCAAUGGCGAAGGCA